CUCGUUGUGUUGUGUUUUCGAGAAAAAAAAAUUUCGAUUUUUUUCAAUUUUUUUUAUGUUUAUGUUGUAUCAAUUUCACGACAACAACGGUAGAGGGCAGCAGCAGUGUAUAAAAACAACGUGUUACCUCGAUCUUUCAUUAAUAAAUACUGGUAUACAAUAAUAUUUUGUUCUUUGAAAGAAUUCGAAAGAAUAAUUUGUUUGUUAUUGUGUUUGUGUUCAUUGAAUAUAAAAAAACAAAAUGGAGUUCUGAAAUUGAACGAUACAUUUGAUCCAUGAGAUUGUCAUCAUUAAAAGAUAUUAUUUGUUUAAUAUGUGUUUACAACAACAAAAACGAAAAAAAAACGAUGAUGAUGAUGAUGAUGAUAACGCUUCAUUAAUCGCAAAAUAUUUUUGGUUGAUGAUAACGUCAGAAGCAUUCAUUAAUAGAAGAUCGAAAAGAAUUCCGAAUCAUUUUUCUUGGCCAUUUUAUUUUAUCAUCAUUUAUAUUAUUGUGUGUUUUGUCGACACUUUGUUUGAGAUGAAUCUGACUAAAUUCCUUGUGCCAAUAAUUUUUCUGAUUCUAAAUUUUUGGCCAUCUUUUCAUCAUCAUCAUUAUCAGAAUUAUGCUGACAAACAACCUUGAACCAUGUAUUUGUGAUCUUAAUUACUUUUCAUCAUAUUGAAAAAAAAACAUCGAUAAAUCAAAAACCAUUACCUUUUUUAAACGAAUGGAAAAAAAAUUAUCAAUAACAAUAAUCACAAUUUUGAAUCGA